rnacentral:rRNA from 1 species
CCUACGGGAGGCUGCAGUGGGGAAUAUGGGGCAAUGGGCGAAAGCCUGACCCAGCAACGCCGCGUGAAGGAAGAAGGCUUUCGGGUUGUAAACUUCUUUUGACAGAGAAGAGAAGAAGACGGUACCUGUCGAAUAAGCCACGGCUAACUACGUGCCAGCAGCCGCGGUAAUACGUAGGUGGCAAGCGUGGUCCGGAUUUACUGGGGGUAAAGGGCGUGUAGCCGGGCUGACAAGUCAGAUGUGAAAUCCGGGGGCUCAACCCCCGAACUGCAUUUGAAACUGUUGGUCUUGAGUAUCGGAGAGGCAGGCGGAAUUCCUAGUGUAGCGGUGAAAUGCGUAGAUAUUAGGAGGAACACCAGUGGCGAAGGCGGCCUGCUGGACGACAACUGACGGUGAGGCGCGAAAGCGUGGGGAGCAAACAGGAUUAGAUACCCCUGUAGUC